UCUCGUCAGUCCCGUGAAUCUUCUCGCCCGCGGCGUACAGAUCCUAGCAUUGGGACAGCCGCAACAAGCCAGUGAAGGGGAGCAAGGAAGGACACUGGUCUCCAGAAGAAGCCAUGAGACCACACCCAGCUGAUCUGCACGACACAGCAAAGGACCAAGGACCUUGUCAGACCUGGAUUUAAAUCCCAACCUUGUUGCCUGUAGGCUCUGGGAUCUUGGGUCACUUAUUCUACCUCUUAAAACAUCAGUUUCCCCUAAUGCUGAAUGCAGAGAAUAAUGCCAGUUGUGAAGAUUAAGAGAAAGAAAUU